CACGUAGGGCGCAAGCGUUGUCCGGAAUUAUUGGGCGUAAAGAGCUCGUAGGUGGUCUGCUACGUCCGCUGUGAAAAUCCAAGGCUUAACCUUGGGCUUGCAGUGGAUACGGGCAGACUAGAGGUAGGUAGGGGAGAAUGGAAUUCCCGGUGUAGCGGUGAAAUGCGCAGAUAUCGGGAAGAACACCUAUGGCGAAGGCAGCUCUCUGGGACGGUACUGACGCUGAGACGCGAAAGCGUGGGGAGCGAACGGG
rnacentral:rRNA from 1 species